rnacentral:rRNA from 1 species
GACAGAGGUCCCGAGCGUUAGGCGGAAUCACUGGGCUUAAAGCGUGUGUAGGCGGAUUUGUAAGUACCUUGUGAAAUCCCACGGCUCAACCGUGGAACUGCUGGGCAUACUGCGGGUCUUGGGCCAACUAGGGGCAGCCGGAACAAGCGAUGGAGCGGUGAAAUGCGUAGAUAUCGCUUGGAACGCCGAAGGUGAAAACAGGCUGCUGGGGUUGCGCCGACGCUGAGACACGAAAGCCAGGGGAGCAAACGGG